UCUUACUUAUCUCUAUCUGGAUCACAACUUCCUCAGCGGACAGAUACCAUCAUCUUUGGGUGCACUGACUUCUCUGCAACUAUUGUCUCUGUAUUAUAAUGACUUGUCAGGUCCAAUUCCCUACCAAUUAGGAAACAUCACAGCCCUUCAAAUAUU